CAAAAUGAAUGCCGACGAUCU
rnacentral:piRNA from 1 species